UCGUGCUCGCUUCGGCAUCCGUGUAUGCUAAAAUUGGAACGAUACAGAGAAGAUUAGCACGGCCCCUGCACAGGGAUGAUGUGCAAACCCGCAGAUGGUCCCAACAGCCUG